rnacentral:rRNA from 2 species
CGGGUGAGUACACGUGGGUAACCUGCCCAUAAGACUGGGAUAACUCCGGGAAACCGGGGCUAAUACCGGAUAACAUUUUGAACUGCAUGGUUCGAAAUUGAAAGGCGGCUUCGGCUGUCACUUAUGGAUGGACCCGCGUCGCAUUAGCUAGUUGGUGAGGUAACGGCUCACCAAGGCAACGAUGCGUAGCCGACCUGAGAGGGUGAUCGGCCACACUGGGACUGAGACACGGCCCAGACUCCUACGGGAGGCAGCAGUAGGGAAUCUUCCGCAAUGGACGAAAGUCUGACGGAGCAACGCCGCCUGAGUGAUGAAGGCUUUCGGGUCGUAAAACUCUGUUGUUAGGGAAGAACAAGUGCUAGUUGAAUAAGCUGGCACCUUGACGGUACCUAACCAGAAAGCCACGGCUAACUACGUGCCAGCAGCCGCGGUAAUACGUAGGUGGCAAGCGUUAUCCGGAAUUAUUGGGCGUAAAGCGCGCGCAGGUGGUUUCUUAAGUCUGAUGUGAAAGCCCACGGCUCAACCGUGGAGGGUCAUUGGAAACUGGGAGACUUGAGUGCAGAAGAGGAAAGUGGAAUUCCAUGUGUAGCGGUGAAAUGCGUAGAGAUAUGGAGGAACACCAGUGGCGAA